CCGGGCAGGGCAGGGCGGGGCCGCACCCGGCACCGCACCGGGCAUUGGGCACCGCGGACACCGCUCCACACACAGCACCGGGCAUUGGGCACCGCGGACACCGCUCCACACACAGCACCGGGCAUUGGGCACCGCGGACACCGCUCCACACACAGCACCGGGCAUUGGGCACCGCGGACACCGCUCCACACACAGCACCGGGCAUUGGGCACCGGGCACCGCACACACCACACGCAGCGCCGGGCACCGCACCGGGCACCGCACCAGGCACCGCACCGCGCUGGGUCACUUCUGUCCCGCCCCCAGCGGGUCCCGCUCCGCGCUCAGGAAUGCCACAGUAAGAGAAAGACAUGAAGUAUCUUUAAAGGAAUUCUGCUUUUGAUCAAGCUGCUAAAAAUGGAUAUGAACACUACUUUCUCCUUUGAGUUUUUGAUAAAUGGACAUUGACAUGGACUACGAAAGACCCAACGUUGAAACUAUCAAGUGUGUGGUGGUUGGAGAUAAUGCAGUGGGAAAGACUCGUCUGAUCUGUGCAAGAGCCUGCAACACAACCUUGACUCAGUAUCAGCUGCUGGCAACUCACGUCCCAACUGUCUGGGCCAUCGAUCAGUACCGUGUCUGCCAAGAGGUCCUCGAACGCUCAAGAGAUGUUGUGGAUGAAGUGAGUGUUUCUCUCAGGCUGUGGGAUACAUUUGGGGACCACCACAAAGACAGGCGCUUUGCUUACGGAAGGUCUGAUGUGGUUGUUCUGUGCUUUUCCAUUGCUAAUCCUAAUUCCCUGAAUCAUGUGAAAACAAUGUGGUAUCAAGAAAUCAAGCACUUCUGUCCCCGCACACCUGUCAUUCUGGUGGGCUGCCAGCUCGAUCUCCGCUAUGCAGACCUGGAGGCUGUGAACAGAGCCAGACGGCCUCUGGCAAGGCCGAUAAAAAGGGGAGACAUUUUGCCCCCAGAAAGAGGCAGAGAGGUUGCCAAGGAACUCGGGAUACCAUACUAUGAAACCAGUGUAUUUGAUCAGUUUGGGAUUAAAGAUGUCUUUGACAAUGCAAUUAGAGCUGCCCUGAUCUCCAGAAGACACUUGCAGUUCUGGAAAUCUCAUUUGAAGAAGGUCCAAAAACCUUUGCUUCAGGCUCCAUUCCUACCUCCAAAAGCCCCUCCUCCGGUUAUCAGAAUUCCUGAGUGUCCCGUGCCGAGCAUGAAUGAAGCUGGAUAUUUAUUGGACAGCCCACUGUGUGCAGAUGUCAUGUUUGUUCUCCAGGAGCAGGACUGCAUUUUUGCUCACAAGAUUUACCUAGCUACCUCCUCUUCAAAGUUUUAUGACCUUUUCUUAAUGGAAUGUGAGGAAAGUCCAGACUUGGAUGAAACACAGUGUAAUAAAGAAAAUACAAGUAAGGAUGUUCAGACAAGUCACCCUGAGACAAAUAGUGACAGUGAUGAGAAUUCCUUGAAAACUGCUGAUGUUAAAAUUCCCCCACCAGAAAGCAGUGACUCUUUGAACAUGCUAGAACCCGAAUCUGGUGAAACAAACCCUGCAGCGAGAUCUCUGUCGUCCUGGGGUAAGGGAUUUGUUAGUGUGCACAAGGAAAUGCAGGUGAAUCCGGUCUCCAAUCGGACAUGUCCUGUAACUGUGGUAAAAAUGGAUUCCUCUGUGCAGGCUGGACCUUUUAAAACUGUUUUGCAGUUUUUAUACACAGGCCAACUGGAUGAAAAUGAGAAAGACCUCACAAGACUCGCUCAGAUUGCUGAAAUCUUGGAAGUAUUUGAUUUGCGGAUGAUGGUGGAGAAUAUUAUGAAUAAAGAAGCCUUCAUGAAUCAAGAGAUUACUAAAGCAUUUCAUGUCAGAAAAGCUAAUCGGAUAAAAGAGUGCCUUUGCAAAGGGACAUUUUCUGAUGUGACAUUUAAAUUGGACGAUGGAAGCAUAAAGGCCCACAAGCCACUGCUCAUCUGUAGCUGUGAAUGGAUGUCUGCUAUGUUUGGAGGAUCAUUUAUUGAAAGCUCCAACAGUGAGGUAGUUCUUCCCAACAUAAACAAGGCUUCCAUGCAAGCGGUUUUAGAUUACUUGUAUACCAAGCAACUGUCCUCCAGUCAGGAACUGGACACACUUGAGUUAAUUGCAUUGGCAAAUAGGUUUUGCCUUCCUCACCUGAUUGCUCUUGCAGAACAGCAUGCAGUACAAGAGCUGACAAAAGCCUCCAUGAGCGGCGUUGCAAUAGAUGGGGAAGUGCUCUCCUAUUUGGAAUUGGCACAGUUUCACAAUGCUAACCAGCUGGCAGCUUGGUGCUUGCACUACAUCUGCACCAACUACAACAGUGUUUGCUCCAAAUUCCGCAAGGAAAUCAAAGCUAAAUCUGCAGAUAAUCAAGAAUAUUUUGAGAGGCAUCGGUGGCCGCCUGUGUGGUAUUUAAAGGAAGAAGAUCACUACCAGAGGGUGAAAAAGGAAAGAGAAAAGGAAGAUGUUGCACUGAACAAACAUCAUUCGAAGCGGAAGUGGUGCUUCUGGAAUUCCUCUGCUGCAAGGCAGUACAGUCACACCCCAGCACUGUAGGUCAGGAAAGGCUUUGGCCUGAAAGCCAUAUACACCUCGACGUAUUUGCGUUCUGAACAGACUGAUUCUUGGCAGAUGCUACCACAGGAUGGUAGAAGCCACCCAGCACGGAAAGAGGUGCUGCUCUACAAACUUCUGUAAGGAAAGCCAAGUGAGAGAUUCCUACCCCUUUAGGAUUCAUCACUGUAUGGUGAUAAAGAAGGGCUAAAAAUGAUGGUUGCAAAUAUGUCUCCUUAAUUCUCAGUCAGUGACAAUGUGUAGUGUGGAGGAGAACAUGGAAUGAGAGAAGACGCGUCAAGACUAAGAUGAGAUAAAUAGCUGUUGUCAUAAAAUGUUAACCAGUCACAUUUUAAACAGAAUUUCUGUGAGCAAGUUUCUCUGCAGCACAACACAAACCAGCUUCUGUGGCUUCCUACCCACAAAUAGCACACCAGAGCCAGGAAUAGAAUUGUUUUGUGAGUAAGAUGGGAUUGGCCAGACUGCAGCCACAACUCACUAAUUUCAUUCCCUGAAGACCUACUCAUCCCAGUCGUUUAGUCAGAGCAGGCCUCCCAGUGUGCAGAGAUCACAGUCUUUAUACUGUUGUCACUGGAUAGACCAGCAUUUAUUUAUUCUGGAUUGGAAUCCAAAGUAUGUACUAUGCAGUGAGAUGUCUUUAAGGUGUCUGCUUGCCACUCCUGAAACCCCUUAGAUUUCUGGUCUAUUAAAAUGAUCUAACAGCAUUUG